rnacentral:rRNA from 1 species
CCUUUGACGUUAGCGGCGGACGGGUGAGUAACACGUGGGUAACCUACCUAUAAGACUGGGAUAACUUCGGGAAACCGGAGCUAAUACCGGAUAAUAUUUCGAACCGCAUGGUUCGAUAGUGAAAGAUGGUUUUGCUAUCACUUAUAGAUGGACCCGCGCCGUAUUAGCUAGUUGGUAAGGUAACGGCUUUACCAAGGCGACGAUACGUAGCCGACCUGAGAGGGUGAUCGGCCACACUGGAACUGAGACACGGUCCAGACUCCUACGGGAGGCAGCAGCC